GGGGGCUCCCGAACAGCCUCUGGUGUCCACAAGGAGGAACGUCAUAAACGUGGAUGGCACUAACGAAGGGGGCCGCGAACGGGCCAAGCCGGGCCCCUCCUUGCAAGUCUGCACCCUCCCCGGUGCAGGUGAGGAGCCCAGGCUCGUCCUGCAGCCUGGCGGGGCAGCGGCUUGACGACCUGGACAAAAAAGCCGUCUGUGGCUUGUGAGUUGGAUCCCCUCCAUGGUGCCUGUUCUCCAAGGCAGCAGCUGGACUGAGUGCCCACCACCCUGCCUCCAGGAGCCUGCUUCCGGCCCCUUCCACCUGCCCCCCAAGACCCCCUGCAGCGGGCAGGCAGAGCCGAGUCUGGACAGCAACACGGGACGUUUGGCGGGUGGGCAGCAUGGCUGGAGUGGGGAGCAGUGGGGUGGGGGGUCACAGCUGUGCCACCCAGGGCUGAACCCACCCUGUGGGUUCCACUCUGCACUUCAGCGGGUGCUCCUCAGGACCCCCCCACCCUCCUGCCCAGUCUGGCGGCAGGACAAGGACCGUGCUGCCCCCUGGUGCCCGGAGCCCAGCCUUGCUGAUUGCUGGGACAGCAGGUGUGCACAGCUGGACACCAGGCUUGGAUUUCGUCCCCUGUGAGACCUUGAUAAUCAUCCUGAAGUUGCUCAAA